AAGAAGAUGAUGUUAUCCGUCCCCGCCGAGGUCGAUCCUGAAGGUCCCAAAUCAGCCAGCUUUCCAACUGUCCCUAAGGGUCAGGGCCUGAUGUGUAUACCCAUCAAGGAAUGGGUUCCUACCCUCGCAAAGCCGGAAAGAAAUUGAGCUGGAGAACAGGUGCGGAGCAGUUCCAUCCACGCCGCGGUCGAUCCAGACGUAUCCAGCUUCUCAGCGAGAAAAAGCCUUUGGGGUCAGGGCUCGAUGUGUAUACCCAUCAAGGAAUGAGCUGCUGCCUCCAGAGGAUUGAACAGCCUCCAAGAUGCUGAGGAGCUGGAUGAUGACAUCAUUUCCUUAGAGAUCAAGAUGAGGUUUCAAGUAUAGGGAAUAAGGGG